GUAUUAAGAAUACACAUACAAGCUAAGCAAGGAACAUUCUCAUUCUAGAAUAAGCAAGGAACAUUCUCAUUCUAGAAUCAUGUUAUUUAACAACAUUAAGCAUAGUUUCAAUAUUAUAUAAAAUCUAGUCUAUGGUAAAUUCGUCAUUGCAAGAUUAAAAAGAGAAGAGAAAUCUAUGGCUAGAAAUAGUAUCACAUAUGCACUAAUAAUGCUCAUAAUUGGAAUAGAUAUUUGUUACGCGAUUGUUGAACUUCAUAAUACUAUUCCUGAAUUACCUUCGACUUCGUCUUAUUAUGUUGCAAUUAAUCUUAAAUUAAUUGAUUGUAUAAAAAAGUGCAGGAGUAGAUUUCCAACUAAAUCAAAAGUGUUCCAGGAAUGCAAAAAAAAAUGUAUCGACGAGUUUACACCGAAACCUCCCAACUGAUGGUUUGGUAGAGUGUAAAUUUUAAUAGAUUCUCGAAUGAAAGGAAGACGAGUUGAGCAUCAUCAGAUUAUUUGGAACUAUUGGUGCUGCUGAUAUUGGAUAUUUCAAUACUUUUGUUUUCCAUGUUUAUUUUCUUAUUGUGUACUGUGUAAUUCAAAUAUAUAUGAGAGGGUUCAGCUAUUCCGUUGCUUUUGUCCUAAAGCAAUAGUAACUGCUUUUAUUAUAAUAAAAUGUUUUAAAAUGUUAUGAAAUGAAAUGAAUUAAACAAUA